rnacentral:rRNA from 1 species
GAUGAACGCUAGCGGCAGGCUUAAUACAUGCAAGUCGAGGGGCAGCACAGGUAGCAAUACUGGGUGGCGACCGGCAAACGGGUGCGGAACACGUACGCAACCUUCCUUUAAGUGGGGAAUAGCCCAGGGAAACUUGGAUUAAUACCCCUUAACAUUAUGAGAUGGCAUCAUUUUAUAAUUAAAGCUCCGGCGCUUAAAGAUGGGCGUGCGCCUGAUUAGGUAGUUGGCGGGGUAACAGCCCACCAAGCCUACGAUCAGUAACUGGUGUGAGAGCACGACCAGUCACACGGGCACUGAGACACGGGCCCGACUCCUACGGGAGGCAGCAGUAAGGAAUAUUGGUCAAUGGACGCAAGUCUGAACCAGCCAUGCCGCGUGGAGGAUGACGGCCCUCUGGGUUGUAAACUCCUUUUAUCUGGGGAGAAAUGCAGAUUUUCUAAUCUGUUUGACGGUACCAGAGGAAUAAGCACCGGCUAACUCCGUGCCAGCAGCCGCAGUAA